AAUGAACGUUGGCGGCGUGGAUUAGGCAUGCAAGUCGUGGGAGAACCCCGCAAGGGGGGACACCGGCGAACGGGGUAGGAUCACCUCGGUGACGUACCCUCAGGACGGGGAUAGCGGCGGGAAACUGCCGGUAAUACCCGAUGACCUGGCGGACUUUAAAGGUCUGCCAGCAAAGGUGAGAUUCCGCCUGAGGACCGGCUGAGGCGCUAUUAGCUAGUUGGUGAGGUCACGGCUCACCAAGGCGACGAUGGCUAGGGGGUGUGAGAGCAUGGCCCCCACCACUGGCACUGAGACACUGGCCAGACACCUACGGGUGGCUGCAGUCGAGAAUCUUCGGCAAUGGGCGCAAGCCUGACCGAGCGACGCCGCGUGCGGGAUGAAGGUCUUCGGAUUGUAAACCGCUGUCGGGAGGGAUGAAGUGCAGGGGGGUUCUCCCCUCUGUUUGACAGAGCUCCAGAGGAAGCACGGGCUAAGUUCGUGCCAGCAGCCGCGGUAAUAC
rnacentral:rRNA from 1 species